AUCUCUCUGCAGGAUUGAGGACAGAGCUGGUGGCAGGAUGAAGCUGAUGAAAAGCGGCGUUGUGAGCCAUCCCAGCUCUCCUAUGUGCUCUAAGAGCCUCUUUACAACUCACUGAGCCCAGAAAGUUAACAGACCCUGGCAGGCAUGUGAAUAAGGAGGUGCAACCCAGAUCUCCCAGUUAGUUUCUCUCUGUGACAGUGGUGUAAACGCCAGGGCUUAAUUGGGCGACUAGCUAUGGAACAGCUUGAUUUUCAUCAGGCAUUUAUCAAUGCUCAAAGCGCCAUGACUUCGAGUGGGAGUGCUUGAGCAGGGCCUCAUACAGAUCACAGAUACAAGGGAGGCAUGAAGAUUUUACACCCUCAGUGGAACUGAACGAGAGACACACCCAAAUAUAAUGACCUUUGUGUAUCUGGAUUAAAAUAAACCAUCAGCCAGGAGGACAAGAGAGGACUCGAAAGGACAAAGCACAAGAAUUCAAUAAGUGGAGUUUCAUGAGGUAUAAACAAAUUUGACUCAAGCGCAGAGUUUGGCUUUUUUCAGAAUCAUCGCAUCUGGGUGAUUUCAAAGAACAUCAUCUUAUAAACAAAUGAGCUUUUGGUCAUUUAGAUGUGUUUAAAAAAUACUUUGGACUUCCAUAAAGGGAUAUUUUAAGGAAGGAGGCAUCCAUGAAGUCAGGUGUGUCCAUAUAAGAUAAACAAUAAACCUGAACACAUACACACACCUCAUCAGAUAGUGCUUUGUUACAAGGCAACUAUCUAAACUCAGACCUUCAUAGGUUCUGUGAAAGACGAACAUGUUGGAUGGUGGAUGUUUUGCUGAACACUGCCAGUAAAACCUCUAAGUCUAAAACGUAAAAGCUGUAACCAGAUUAGAUAAAAGGAGUUUUAACUUUAAUUAACAGCACAUCUUAAUUAUUUUGGUGUCUCCAGCAGCCUGAUAUGCAUAUUCACUGUCUUAUAAACUUCACAACUCUUUAAAGAACUUAUUAAAACUUUGCAACUGCCACACAGACUCAAUUGAAAGGAGCCGCAGCUCUGUAUCCUAAAGUCAUGGAUGGGAAAACAGACAGCAUCCAGGACUUUUUCAUCUAUCUCUGGAGCUAUGUUACAGACAAACACAACCAGGGGGCAUACAACACAGUCUGCCUGGUGGUCCUCUUAACCCUUCCCCUGCUGGUCUUCCUCACUACUUUGGUGGUGUGCUGCCACUGUUGCUGCUGUCGCCAUGACAACAGCUGCUGUUGCUGCUGCUGCAGUGACACCAUGGCAACCACAAGGUCAGAAACAAAGAAGAAAAAAAAUUUGGCUACGACUGAAGACUUGUGGAUUUCUGUCAAUACGGGGCCUAUGACAACUGACAGGAUAGCCCUAGCCAUGGUGUAGGGAUGGCAUUUUUAUUGCGAGACUGCUGAGCCUGGGCCAGUUGGUGCAGCUGAGCAUGUCAGAAGUGCAAAACUCAAAGUAUCUUGGACUUGGAAGUAGACUGAGGACACCGUUUGAACUAGUAGGAAAGACUUCACAUUGUAAUGAGCAUUGAUUUGUUUGAAAACUGUUCUGAUUUUUGUCAUUUUGUCAUGAUGUUGUAUGUGGAGAUUUUAUUACAUUGUUUACAGCUUUUUGUAUGAGCUUGUUAGUGUGUGGUACAUAGUGGAAGGAAUAUGAAGAAAUAUGCAGACAGGAGCAUAUGUAUGUGUGAGUAGGUUAGAGAGAGAGAGACUGUGUCUGUGUGUGUGUGUGUGAGAGAGAGAGAGGGUUUAGUGUUAUUGAGAGGAUUUUGUUCUUAGAGCUCCCAUGUGAAAUUCAUUGCAUCUCUGUUUGGGAGAGAGAGCCAAUUUAAGGUCUGCCCAGUGGUCGGAUGGCUGAAAUGCUGCCUACUUUUCAAAUUCAGGCUGCAAUCCAGACUGGUGAUUGACUCUCACUUUUUAAAGUACAAGGCACCAAUGUCCAAAAAGUUUAGUCCCCCAGGAGAGGCACUUUAUGGUUUUGGAGAAUGUUUCUGUAUUUCAGUCGGAAAAAAAACCCUUAAAAGUGCAAUUUAUAGUCCAAGUAUAAAAAAAAAAUUGAAAUCUGUUAUCUUUCACAAUUACUGUAAUUAACAUACAUUUUUAUGUACUGAUUAAUACCAGACAGCAAUUAUAUCAGGGAGUUUUGAGUCUGGGGCCUGUAUUUUUUGAAAUUUUGGACUUAAGUGAAAUGUAAAAUUAAAAAUACUUUACUUUUCUCCCACAAACAAACUUAAAUGCUAUCUUUAAAAUUUCUUGCAACUUAAAAAUAGUCGUAAAUUUAAGUGAGGUAAAAAAAAUAAUUGAACCUAAGGAACACAUAGCUGAAGCAAUAUUUAGAAUUUUGAGCAGGAGAGUUUUAGCCUACUAUUUUCAUUUUCAUUAAACUUUUGUUAUAUUACAUCGAUCUUUUGUGCUAAUUAGUGGUGGAAAUGGUACAAAUCAAGCUGCCAUUAGUUGUUUGCAAUCAUUCUUCAUGCAUCUACAUGGUCUCUGCUUGUCAACGGGCUACUACAUUCUCCAUAUGACUUUUUUCUCUUAUUAUUUCAGUAUGUGCCACAUAUUUUAAAUAUAUUUUGCUGAUUUCACAGUAAUUGUUACUAGAUUUAUCAAGGAGUUCAAAAUGAAAACAUAUUUUCAGUAUCACAGUGCAAAAAGCUGUAAGAUAAAAAUGUCUUUCAUUCCUGAUAUGAACACACUGUACAGUAAGUUUUAUCAUGUGAUCUCCUGAGUGAGUUUUUAUUCCUCAGCUGUAAAACAUUGUUAACAAUUAGAAGAUGGAUAAAUAUGGGCCAAAGUUUGUUUACAUCGUUUCUGUUGGUAAAGAUUCAAGCAUGUACUAGAUAUAUGCAAAUUGAUAUUGGAUUAUGUGUAAAAUUAUGUGUGUUGUCAUAACUGUUCUUACAUGCUUGAAAGAAUAAAUCAAAUCAAAAUCAAAUCACAUCAAAUCAAAGAUAACAGUAUUAUAAUUACAUCCAGCUAAGAAGCAAACACAAUGAUAAUUUAUUUAAACUGUAAUUCAAACUCUUCAUUAUGCAUGUGAAUAUACAGUAUGUGGCGAAAAGGAGAGAUUUAAAGCAUACUCAAAGCAAAGUUUUGAACAUUUUUACUGUAUGUGUGCUUAAAAUAUUCAAGACAAAGAAAAACUAUGAAAUAAUCAAAUGAUUUGCGCUCUGAGUGGGUUGUGCUUGAAGACUCAUUUUACUUUUUAAGUGUAUGACAUCUCAAAGCCCAAUUAAGCAGAAGCGUCUCGCCAGUAUCAUCAUCUUUAUGCAUCAUCUUACAGUGGCACUAAGUUGAUCUUCUUGCUCAAGUGCUUCUGGGAAAACAGGCCCCACUCAUUUCAUUAGUGCUCAGGCAGAUACAUUCUCGUGUCAAAAUCAGGGUUUGUCUCUUCUGCUUCAUGUUCACAGAGAGAGAAAAACUAUGCAUACUGGGCUUAAUUUGAAAGCUGGCCCUGCAAAAUAAAAAGCCUCUGCAGCAAUGUAUGAUGACUAAUCGAGGCAGAAGGGUUUGCCAAGAAAUAACAUGCUCAGGGAUAGGCUGAACAUGUCAUUGUGGUUUGUAUUUGUCACAGACAUUUACAGUCAGUUUACACAGUUUUUAUUCAAUGUCAUUGUCUCUGGCAGAUUUUCUUAAUACCUUAAAAAUAAUUAUAAUAAGGCUGACAUUUUGGGACAGUAUUAGUUUUCUUGGUGACAGAUGAGAAUACUGAUACCACUCUCUUCAAGCAGCUGAACCAGAAGCCAGGAGUUAGUUAGCUUAGCUUAGCAUAAAGUCUGGAAACAAUGGGAAACAGCUAGUCUGCCUCUCUCUAAAAGUAACAAAAUAAUAAAUAACAUUUUUUUUAACCUUGUUGUGUCUUUGGCUGCAAGGCUAAGCUGACUGACGGCUGGCUCGAGCUACAUAUUUGACAUACAGGCAUGAGUGUACGGUAUCAAUCCUCUCAUCUAACACUAUAAAAAAGCAAAAAAAGGGGAUUUCCUUUAAACUCAUUUAAAAAUACUUCCACACACUGUAUAAGAAGAUACUUAGGAGAUAUUAUGAAGCAGGAAGUCACAGCUGCAGGUCACAUACUAAAAGAUGUAAAACAAAACUGAUUAUUGAUUUUAAGAUCUGUGGGAUGGUUGAAAA